rnacentral:rRNA from 1 species
GUCACAGUUGGAAUUCAUUUUCUGAUAAUGAUUCAAGUCUUCGUUUACUUUGAGAAAAUUUGAGUGUUCAAAACAGUGUUACGGCUGUAUAUUAAAGCAUGGAAUGAUACAUAAUGACAUUGGUUAAUUUUGGUUGGUUUGAGUGGCUGCUGUAAUGAUUUAUAGAGUUAGUUGGAGGUAUUAGUAUUUUUUCGUUAGAAGUGAAAUUCUGGGAUCGAAAAAAGACGAACAACUGCGAAAGCAUUUGCCUAGUAUUUGCUCUUUGAUCAAGAACGUAAGUUGGGGGAUCGAAGACGAUCAGAUACCGUCGUAGUCUCAACUUUAAACAAUAUCAACUAGGGGUUGGCAAAUGUUUAUAUGACUUUGUCAUAACCGUGGGAGAAAUCAAAGUGUUUGGGUUCC